GUCUACGGCCAUGCUACCCGGAACAAGACCGAUGUCUGAUCUCGGAAGCUCAGCAGGGUCGAGCCUAGUUAGUACUUGGAUGGGAGACCACCUAGGAAGACCAGGUGCUGUAGGCA
rnacentral:rRNA from 1 species